rnacentral:rRNA from 1 species
GAUGAACGCUAGCGGCAGGCCUAAUACAUGCAAGUCGGACGGGAUCCAUCGGUAGCUUGCUAUCCAUGGUGAGAGUGGCGCACGGGUGCGUAACGCGUGAGCAACCUGCCUCCAUCAGGGGGAUAGCCUCUCGAAAGAGAGAUUAACACCGCAUAACAUAUCAGACCGGCAUCGGUCGGAUAUCAAAUAUUUAUAGGAUGGAGAUGGGCUCGCGUGACAUUAGCUUGUUGGUGGGGUAACAGCCCACCAAGGCGACGAUGUCUAGGGGCUCUGAGAGGAGAAUCCCCCACACUGGUACUGAGACACGGACCAGACUCCUACGGGAGGCAGCAGUAAGGAAUAUUGGUCAAUGGGCGGAAGCCUGAACCAGCCAUGCCGCGUGCAGGAUGACUGCCCUAUGGGUUGUAAACUGCUUUUGUCCGGGAAUAAACCUCCUUACGUGUAGGGAGCUGAAUGUACCGGAAGAAUAAGGAUCGGCUAACUCCGUG